rnacentral:rRNA from 1 species
AUUGAACGCUGGCGGCAGGCCUAACACAUGCAAGUCGAGCGAAUGAGAAGAGCUUGCUCUUCGAUUCAGCGGCGGACGGGUGAGUAAUGCCUAGGAAUCUGCCUGGUAGUGGGGGACAACGUUUCGAAAGGAACGCUAAUACCGCAUACGUCCUACGGGAGAAAGCAGGGGACCUUCGGGCCUUGCGCUAUCAGAUGAGCCUAGGUCGGAUUAGCUAGUUGGUGAGGUAAUGGCUCACCAAGGCGACGAUCCGUAACUGGUCUGAGAGGAUGAUCAGUCACACUGGAACUGAGACACGGUCCAGACUCCUACGGGAGGCAGCAGUGGGGAAUAUUGGACAAUGGGCGAAAGCCUGAUCCAGCCAUGCCGCGUGUGUGAAGAAGGUCUUCGGAUUGUAAAGCACUUUAAGUUGGGAGGAAGGGCAGUAAGUUAAUACCUUGCUGUUUUGACGUUACCGACAGAAUAAGCACCGGCUAACUCUGUGCCAGCAGCCGCCGUAAAAC